rnacentral:rRNA from 1 species
GAUGAACGCUGGCGGCGUGCUUAACACAUGCAAGUCGAACGGAAAGGCCCAAGCUUGCUUGGGUACUCGAGUGGCGAACGGGUGAGUAACACGUGGGUGAUCUGCCCUGCACUUCGGGAUAAGCCUGGGAAACUGGGUCUAAUACCGGAUAGGACGAUGGUUUGGAUGCCAUUGUGGAAAGUUUUUUCGGUGUGGGAUGAGCUCGCGGCCUAUCAGCUUGUUGGUGGGGUAAUGGCCUACCAAGGCGUCGACGGGUAGCCGGCCUGAGAGGGUGUGCGGCCACAUUGGGACUGAGAUACGGCCCAGACUCCUACGGGAGGCAGCAGUGGGGAAUAUUGCACAAUGGGCGCAAGCCUGAUGCAGCGACGCCGCGUGGGGGAUGACGGCCUUCGGGUUGUAAACUCCUUUCGCUAGGGACGAAGCGUUUUUGUGACGGUACCUGGAGAAGAAGCACCGGCUAACUACGUG